UACGGGGGGGGCAAGCGUUGUUCGGAAUUACUGGGCGUAAAGGGCUCGUAGGCGGCCAACUAAGUCGGAUAUGAAAUCCCCAGGCUUAACUUGGGAACUGCAUCCGAUACUGGAUGGCUUGAAUCCGGGAGAGGGAUGCGGAAUUCCAGGUGUAGCGGUGAAAUGCGUAGAUAUCUGGAGGAACACCGGUGGCGAAGGCGGCAUCCUGGACCGGCAUUGACGCUGAUGAGCGAAAGCCAGGGGAGCAAACGGG
rnacentral:rRNA from 1 species